rnacentral:rRNA from 1 species
CCGAUUGAAUGAUUUAGUGAGGUCUUCGGACUGGCGCUCGGAGCGGCCCAAGGGUCGCGCCGGCGUGCCGGAAAGAUGACCCAAACUUGAUCAUUUAGAGGAAGUAAAAGUCGUAACAAGGUUUUCGUAGGUGAACCUGCGAAAGGAUCAUUA